GGAUUAGAUACCCUGGUAGUCCACGCCGUAAACGAUGUCUACUAGUUGUCGGUUGUCUUGUACGACGGGUAACGCAGCUAACGCGAUAAGUAGACCGCCUGGGGAGUACGGCCGCAAGGUUAAAACUCAAAUGAAUUGACGGGGGCCCGCACAAGCGGUGGAGCAUGUGGUUUAAUUCGAUGCAACGCGAAGAACCUUACCUACACUUGACAUGCAGAGAACUUUCUAGAGAUAGAUUGGUGCCUUCGGGAACGCAGAGACAGGUGCUGCAUGGCUGUCGUCAGCUCGUGCCG
rnacentral:rRNA from 1 species